UAUUUGGCAAUAAAAGGAGAAUGUGUAUUGCCAUCUACAGGAACUUAUGUGCCUUUUUAUCACAUGAAGAUUGAAAUAUUACAGAAUAUCAAUUGAAAUAACUUGCAUUUAUCAAACUGCCAACUUCAGUGUAGCUCUUACAGAAACAGAGGUGAAGUGACCUG